rnacentral:rRNA from 1 species
UGGGGAAUAUUGCACAAUGGCGGGAACUCUGAUGCAGCGACGCCGCGUGAACGUAGAAGGCUUUCGAGUCGUCGAGUUCUUUUAUUUGGGAAGAUAAUCACGGUACCAUAAGAAAAAGCCCCGGCUAACUACGUGCCAGCAGCCGCGGUAAUACGUAGGGGGCUAGCGUUGUCCGGAAUCACGGGGCGUAAAGGGUUCGCAGACGGAAAUGCAAGUCAGGUGUAAAAGGCAGUAGCUUAACUACUGUAAGCAUUUGAAACUGCAUAUCUUGAGAAGAGUAGAGGUAAGUGGAAAUUUUAGUGUAGAGGUGAAAUGCGUAGAUAUUAAAAAGAAUACAAGGGGCGAAUGCGUCUUACUGAGAUCCUACUAACGCUGAGUAACGAAAGCGUGGGUAGCAAACAGG